AGUAAGCCUGCCACCAGCCCACAGCCUAUGAAGCUGACGGUGAUUGGCAGCCUCGCUGAGGGGGGCGGGCUCAGUCUCCAUGGGGUGCGCACAACAAGACUGGUAGCUGCCUGCCUGCCGGCUCCCAGCGUCUCAGAUCUCAGGACAUAGUUGUUGUCAUGGAGUUGACCAGAAUGUCAGACCUGACAAAGCUCCACCAAGCCGUGGCUGCAGGAGACGGCAAUUCGGUGAGAAAGAUUUUGAAGAAAGGUCUCUGUGACCCAAACUAUAAGGACAUGGACUGGAAUGACAGAACCCCACUUCACUGGGCUGCGAUCAAAGGGCAUUUGGACGUGAUGCAGCUCUUAAUAGAAUAUGGAGCCAGGCCCUGCCUGGUAACUGAUGUGGGCUGGACCCCAGCUCACUUUGCAGCUGAGUCAGGCCAUCUGAAUGUGCUCAAAAUUCUCCAUGCACUGCAUGCCGCCAUCGACGCCCCCGACUUCUUUGGAGACACACCAAAGAGGAUUGCGCAGAUCUACGGGCAGAAAGCCUGUGUGGCAUUCCUGGAGAAGGCUGAGCCUGAGUGCCGGGCCCACCGCCUCACCGCCAGGCGGAAGGGGCUGCCAUUGGACCAGCGGGAUGAAGACUGGGAUGCCAAGAAAAGGGAACUGGAGCUGUCUCUUCCCUCCUGGCAUCAAAACACUAAUAAGAAAAAGGAGAAGAAAAGUCGAGGCCCCACCAGGGCCAGCCAUACCAAGGAGAGGAGAGCGUGAGGAAGCCCGUGGCCAAGAGGCUGGACCUGCUUUCUGGUGGAAACCUUUCCCUGGUGGCAGAGUCAAGUUAUUAGGUGUGUGUUGUCUUUACAUGAUUUUUCCUCGUGGCCCAUUCCCAGACAGCUCCUGAACGUCAAGACUUGCCAAUUGAACGAAUAUCAUUAUAUACCCAGGAGGAGCAACCUGGACAGUAGACUGGCUCAGUGGAAAUAACUGGAAAUCCUGACAUGAAUUAAUUUCAUCCCACCUAACUAGUGAGAGAGAGCAUGAGCAAUCUGAUUGGAUCACGCAAGGCCACCCAGUGAGACCCAGCACUGCACUUUUUAAAGAAGAAUCGAUUCUGAUCACUUACCUUGGGCAAGAAGAUCCAACCUUCUAGACGCUAUUCUAUUCUGAGGAGACUGCUUAGAGGAGACUUGCCAGGAGGGAGACAGCAUCUCAGAUCUGAAGUAGACAAUAGGGAUGUGGAAGAAUAUAUAGAUACAUGGUGAUUAAGAAAUGUAUUUAGCCUAUAAUGUCUAUUUUCAAUUAAAAUUUGGUAAUUCAUUUUGUCUGUUGUGAAAGUGUAUAUACUGUAAAUUAUAGGGAAGUAAAUGAAAAUUCAUGAAUAAACAGUUUGAAUUUCCCUUGUGUUGAAGGAAGUUGAUAUACCUUUUCUUGCCAGGAGAAUGAAAAAAAUCAAGUUGAGAUGAUAUUUGGAUUUCAAGGAAGGAACCUUCUUUCUGUCAGUUUCCCAUUGUUAGAUUUUUGUGAAUUGGUUAGCAUUUCACUGCACAUGCUGAGGACCUCCAGACAGCCACAGACUGAAUCUUGACAAAAACAAAGAAGUGUUUGCUUUGUUACAUAUCGCAUUGCAACUUGAAUUUGUUGCUAGCUCUCAAGAAUCUCAAUAUGUUUUUUAAAAAUCUACUUAUUUGAUUAAAGCUCAGAUAGAUAGAUCCUUUUUAUUAAGUGACUUCUGUUACCAGCCUUUCCUUGGCAUUUUAAAAACAAGGCUGAGACGAAGUUGGCCCAUUCUGACAUGCAUUCUUUCUUAUCUCUUUUCUAGCAUUAAAGGCUCUAAAGAGAGAGAGAGAACUCAGAAAUCACACUAAAGUUGUCUCUAGCCUGAAUCUUAAUCAGUUUGACAAAACUUCCUCCCUUUAAAAAGUGAUAAAUAUAAACUGCCUGUGGUAAGUUAUGUCUCCAGUCGCUGAAUCCAAUCCCUUUUCUUA